UACAGAGGUGGCAAGCGUUGUUCGGAAUUACUGGGCGUAAAGGGCGCGUAGGCGGCUUGGUCAGUCCCGUGUGAAAUCCCUCGGCUCAACUGAGGAACUGCACGGGAAACUGCCUGGCUUGAGUUCGGGAGAGGGAAGCGGAAUUCCGGGUGUAGCGGUGAAAUGCGUAGAUAUCAGGAGGAGCACCGAUGGCGAAGGCAGGUCUCUGGGCAUUAACUGACGCUGAGGAGCGAAAGCAUGGGGAGCGAACAGG
rnacentral:rRNA from 1 species